rnacentral:rRNA from 1 species
UACGUAGGGUGCAGGCGUUAAUCGGAAUUACUGGGCGUAAAGCGUGCGCAGGCGGUUUGCUAAGACAGGUGUGAAAUCCCCGGGCUCAACCUGGGAACUGCAUCUGUGACUGCAUAGCUAGAGUACGGUAGAGGGGGAUGGAAUUCCGCGUGUAGCAGUGAAAUGCGUAGAUAUCUGGAGGAACACCGGUGGCGAAGGCGGCAUCCUGGACCGACACUGACGCUGAGGAGCGAAAGCCAGGGGAGCAAACGGG